rnacentral:rRNA from 1 species
GAGUUUGAUCCAUGGCUCAGGACGAACGCUGGCGGCGUGCUUAACACAUGCAAGUCGAACGAUGAUGCCCAGCUUGCUGGGUGGAUUAGUGGCGAACGGGUGAGUAACACGUGAGUAACCUGCCCCUGACUCUGGGAUAAGCGUUGGAAACGACGUCUAAUACUGGAUAUGACUGCCGGCCGCAUGGUCUGGUGGUGGAAAGAUUUUUUGGUUGGGGAUGGACUCGCGGCCUAUCAGCUUGUUGGUGAGGUAAUGGCUCACCAAGGCGACGACGGGUAGCCGGCCUGAGAGGGUGACCGGCCACACUGGGACUGAGACACGGCCCAGACUCCUACGGGAGGCAGCAGUGGGGAAUAUUGCACAAUGGGCGAAAGCCUGAUGCAGCAACGCCGCGUGAGGGAUGACGGCCUUCGGGUUGUAAACCUCUUUUAGUAGGGAAGAAGCGUAAGUGACGGUACCUGCAGAAAAAGCACCGGCUAACUACGUGCCAGCAGCCGCGGUAAUACGUAGGGUGCAAGCGUUGUCCGGAAUUAUUGGGCGUAAAGAGCUCGUAGGCGGUUUGUCGCGUCUGCUGUGAAAUCCCGAGGCUCAACCUCGGGCUUGCAGUGGGUACGGGCAGACUAGAGUGCGGUAGGGGAGAUUGGAAUUCCUGGUGUAGCGGUGGAAUGCGCAGAUAUCAGGAGGAACACCGAUGGCGAAGGCAGAUCUCUGGGCCGUAACUGACGCUGAGGAGCGAAAGCGUGGGGAGCGAACAGGAUUAGAUACCCUGGUAGUCCACGCCGUAAACGUUGGGCGCUAGAUGUAGGGACCUUUCCACGGUUUCUGUGUCGUAGCUAACGCAUUAAGCGCCCCGCCUGGGGAGUACGGCCGCAAGGCUAAAACUCAAAGGAAUUGACGGGGGCCCGCACAAGCGGCGGAGCAUGCGGAUUAAUUCGAUGCAACGCGAAGAACCUUACCAAGGCUUGACAUACACCGGAAACGGCCAGAGAUGGUUGCCCCCUUGUGGUCGGUGUACAGGUGGUGCAUGGUUGUCGUCAGCUCGUGUCGUGAGAUGUUGGGUUAAGUCCCGCAACGAGCGCAACCCUCGUUCUAUGUUGCCAGCGCGUUAUGGCGGGGACUCAUAGGAGACUGCCGGGGUCAACUCGGAGGAAGGUGGGGAUGACGUCAAAUCAUCAUGCCCCUUAUGUCUUGGGCUUCACGCAUGCUACAAUGGCCGGUACAAAGGGCUGCGAUACCGUAAGGUGGAGCGAAUCCCAAAAAGCCGGUCUCAGUUCGGAUUGAGGUCUGCAACUCGACCUCAUGAAGUCGGAGUCGCUAGUAAUCGCAGAUCAGCAACGCUGCGGUGAAUACGUUCCCGGGCCUUGUACACACCGCCCGUCA